UUAGAUAUAAAUAGAUCAAAUUGUUUACCGGAGUACUACGAAUAAAACCGUUUAAAACUCAAAGAGCUUGGCGGUGCUUUAGACUUCUCAGGGGAACCUGUCUCGUAAUCGACAGUCCACGUAUCAACCUCACCUUUUUUUGCAAUCAGUAUGUAUACCGUCGUCGCCAGGUAACUUUUAAAAAUAUAGAAGUUAGCAAGAAAACUUUUUAGUUUUUACGUCAGAUCAAGGUGCAGCUAAUAAAAAGGAGAAGAUGGGUUACAAUUAAGAUUCAUAAUUACGGAAGUUAGUCUUAAUGAUUAAUUAUGAAGGCGGACUUGAAAGUAUGAAUCAGUAGUCAAAUGUUCUGAAUUCAGCUCUGAAGCG
rnacentral:rRNA from 1 species